rnacentral:rRNA from 1 species
UACGGGGGAUGCAAGCGUUAUCCGGAAUCAUUGGGCGUAAAGCGCCUGUAGGUUGUUUAAUAAGUCUGUUGUUAAAGCCUAGGGCUUAACCCUAGAAAAGCAAUGGAAACUACUAGACUAGAGUAUGGCAGGGGUAGAGGGAAUUUCUAGUGUAGCGGUGAAAUGCGUAGAUAUUAGAAAGAACACCGGUGGCGAAAGCGCUCUACUGGACCAUUACUGACACUCAGAGGCGAAAGCUAGGGUAGCAAAAGGGAUUAGAUACCCCUGUAGUCCUAGCCGUAAACGAUGGAUACUAGAUGUUGUGCUUCAUGUACAGUAUCGUAGCUAACGCGUUAAGUAUCCCGCCUGGGGAGUACGACCGCAAGGUUA